GGGGGAGUACGCUCGCAAGGGUGAAACUCAAAAGAAUUGACGGGGACCCGCACAAGCAGUGGAGUAUGUGGUUUAAUUCGAUGCAACGCGAAAAACCUUACCUGGGCUUGACAUUCAAAUGAUCGCUUCAGAGAUGAAGAAUUCCCGCAAGGGACAAUUGGACAGGUGCUGCAUGGCUGUCGUCAGCUCGUGCCGUGAGGUGUUGGGUUAAGUCCCGCAACGAGCGCAACCCUUGUCGUUAGUUGCCAGCGUUUAAAAGACGGGCACUCUAGCGAGACUGCCUCGGUGAACGAGGAGGAAGGUGAGGAUGACGUCAAGUCCGCAUGGCCCUUAUGCCCAGGGCUACACACGUACUACAAUGGCCGGUACAGAAGGCAGCGAAACCGCGAGGUGGAGCAAAUCCGCGAAAGCCGGCCCCAGUUCAGAUUGCAGUCUGCAACUCGACUGCAUGAAGAUGGAAUUGCUAGUAAUGGCGAGUCAGCAUGAUCGCCGUGAAUACGUUCCCGGGUCUUGUACACACCGCCCGUCAAGUCAUGGGAGUUGGUUUCACCCGAAGUCGCUCACCCAACCUGCAAAGGAGGGAGGCGCCUAAGGUGAGGCUGAUGACUGGGACUAAGUCGUAACAAGGUAGCC
rnacentral:rRNA from 1 species